ensembl:snoRNA
CAAUACAGUGCUGUCUGACCAGGACUCCCUGACCUACGCAGGCCUCUGCUCUGGAGGUGAUGGCCAGUCCUAGUAUCUGAGUGAUU